rnacentral:rRNA from 1 species
UGCGUAGGCGGCUCGGUAAGUCUGGAGUGAAAGUCCUGCUUUUAAGGUGGGAAUUGCUUUGGAUACUGUCGGGCUUGAGUGUAGGAGAGGUUAGUGGAAUUCCCAGUGUAGCGGUGAAAUGCGUAGAGAUUGGGAGGAACACCAGUGGCGAAGGCGACUAACUGGACUGUAACUGACACUGAGGCUCGAAAGCCAGGGUAGUGAACG